rnacentral:lncRNA from 1 species
UAGAGAGGGCACCUACAUCCCUGUUCAGUUGAUGCUGCUCGAUGAAUAGUAACUAUGAUGGCGCUUUUCUUCUGAAUUAAAUCUGGUGGCUUCAUGUUAGAGUUUUGACUUAAAAGAUAUGACAGUUUAUGAGACUUUUUCCCGGGGUUCCAGAUAUAACAAGUAGCAAGUCCAUUUCUGCAGGCUGCCAUAUGCCACAAUGAAGAAAGCCAGCUUGAAGUGCAGAGUCAAUGUGGGGAGGAGGGCUGAGCCCAGAGAGCCACAGAGAAAUUCAGAUAGAGCCCUGGUCAUACCAUACCUGAAGCCCUCAACUUCUCUGUUACAAGGGAUAGUGUGUCUUCUGAUUGUUCAAAUUGGUUUUGCAUGAGGGUCAAGCUAGAGGAUUCUCCAUGGAAGAAUUUUCUCCUCUGUGUAAGUGGGCAUGUGCUGGACAAAAACACUAUUCCUACAUUGUUACCAAGCCUGCAGAGCUCCCUGUAAGAGGUUGGGGCAGGUCUGACGACUGCAAGGCUAGCCACAGGCCUGCUCUCGGGCCCUGACUUGCCAGCCCCGCACUGCAGACCAGCAAACUGAGUCCCAUGCCUGCCGAAGAAGCCCCAGCCAGGUCAUCACCUCCAGCCCCCUGGGCCUACCCUGACCAGCUCCCACCAAUCAUGGGAUCCAAGCCCUGUGUCUUCACCCAAUAAAUGGGAUGAGUGAUGGAGACCUGCCCGCCUCACGCUGUUUAAGGAAGCCCGAGGAGAUGACGUAGUCCAACUUUCCUUCAAGACGGCUGUGUUCAGAAAGCUUUGCAGAUAGCAUUCUGGAAUGGUGUCGGAUAUUUUAUGAAGUGCUUCACCUGCAGCCUUCUUCCAGCUGUGACGUCCUAGCUUACGAAGUUGUGAUGGCAUUUAACCCCUGAUGCGUUAACUCUCUGUAGCUCAUCUCCCUCUUGCCUUUGGAAGACACCUCCUAGAUGCCCAGGUGGCCUGUCCCCUCCCACUGGGGGACAUCUCCCAGAUGCCCAGGGCUCACACUGCACGCCACACACAGCGUGGGCAGACAGACUUGUGCGUCCGAACCCUUUGGAAAGCUGCCAUCUCA